GCCCCACCAGCCACCCCAUGGACAGCCUGCGCCUGGCGGAGCAGAGCCCGGAGUCCCACGUCCUGCAGCGCAGGGACACAGGGGACACCGUCACGAGGGACACGAGGGACACGAGGGACACAUGGGGCAGUGUCCCCCCCACAGCCCCCCACACCCUGGGGUGCCCCGAGGCCGAGUGUUUCCGGCUGAGCUGCCCCAUGGGGGGGCUGGACAAGCAGCAGC
rnacentral:lncRNA from 1 species